GACCCCAGGUUAGGCGAGAACACCCGCUGAAUUUAAGCAUAUCAAUAAGCGGAGGAGAAGAAACUUACGAGGAUUCCCUUAGUAACGGCGAGCGAACCGGGACAAGCCCACCUUGAGAAUCGGACGGCUUCGUCGUUCGA
rnacentral:rRNA from 1 species